CUUCUCUUCUGAGAUGUUCUCCAAGCCUUAGGCAUUAUCCACUGGGGCUGGGUACCCCACAGAGUGAAAAAUAAAAGCAAGAAACAAUCCUGGAGGAAGACAAGCUGUGCUCCGUAUCUAACUCCUGUAAUGAAAUGGGAGGUGGAGCCAGAAGAAUCACCUGAAGCCUGUAGGCCUGCUGGCCCGGACUACGCGGCUCAGUAGCGGAAACAGGAGACCGUCCCUUAACGCAAGAAAAAGAACUGUGGAUAACAGCCCAAGAUGGUAUUUUGAAGUGAGUAGACACCUGGAGAAUACAGUCUUCCUGCUACCGGGGUGAUGGAUAAACAUCUUCAAUCAAGACAUCCUGAGGAUCCUACGGGUUUAGAUGAAGGAGACUCUCUGGUUGUGUUUGUUUGGAAGGCGACCUCGGUAAGCAUGGAGCUAGAUGUCAACUGACGAGACGCUUCUGAGAGGGACUCAAAACUGCCGACCUUGGGAAUUUGCUUGAGAAGAGAGAAAUUCUUGGCCACAGAGAGAGUGCUGAGAAGACAGGGGAGUGAAAAGAAUGUGUCAACAGAGUGAGCCAAGCCUGGGGGACAUGGCAGAGCACCACAAGAAACCAUUGCUCGGCAAAGGACUCCUCAGAUGAGAGCGUACAAAAUAUGAUCAUCCCUCAUCACCAGGGGUAGCCCUAGGAUCCUUGCCCAGGGUACCACAAUCUUAGAGUGCUCAAGUCCCUUAUAUAAACAGCAAAAUGAAUUAGGG
rnacentral:lncRNA from 1 species